CACUAUGAUGUGUAUCAUCUCCUGGUAACUGAGGGUGCUGAUCUGACAAUUACAGAUGAAAACAACACUGACUGAUUGAUGUUGGCAUGUCAAGGAGGUAACAUAUCUAUUGUGAAACACAUCCUAUCCAUGAAAACAUGUGACAUCAACAGACGAGGAGGAUUCGCAUAAAAAACACCAAUUGUGAUGGCAUUAGAAAGUGGACACUAUGAUGUGUAUCAUCUCCUUGUAUGUGAGGGUGCAGAUCUGACCACUACUGAUGAAGACAACAGAGACUGCCUGAUGUUGGCACGUGAAGGAGGUAACAUAUCUAUUGUGAAACACAUCCUAUCCAUGAAAAUAUGUGACAUCAACAGCAGAGGAGGAUUCGCUGAAAACACACCAAUUAUGACGGCAUUAGAAAGAGGACGAUAUGAUGUGUAUCAUCUCCUUGUAUCUGAGGGUGCAGAUCUGACCACUAUUGAUACAAACAACACUGAUUGACUGAUGGUGGCAUGUGAAGGAGGUAACAUAUCUAUUGUGAAACACAUCCUAUCCAGGAAAACAUGUGACAUCAACAGACGGGGAGGAGUGUCAAAACAAACACUAAUUGUGAUGGCAUUAGAAAGAGGACUCUAUGAUGUAUGAUCUCCUUGUAUGUGUGGGUGCAGAUCUUACCACUACUGAUGAAGACAACAGAUACUGCCUGAUGUUAGCAUGUGAAGGAGGUAACAUAUCUCUUUUGAAACACAUCCUAUC